UACGAAGGGGGCUAGCGUUACUCGGAAUCACUGGGCGUAAAGCGUGCGUAGGCGGUUCGUUAAGUCUGCUGUGAAAGCCCUGGGCUCAACCUGGGAACUGCAGUGGAUACUGGCGGACUAGAGUGUGAUAGAGGAUGGUGGAAUUCCCGGUGUAGCGGUGAAAUGCGUAGAGAUCGGGAGGAACACCAGUGGCGAAGGCGGCCAUCUGGAUCAACACUGACGCUGAGGCACGAAAGCGUGGGGAGCGAACGAGG
rnacentral:rRNA from 1 species